AGAGUUUGAUUCUGSCUCAGAACGAACGCUGGCGGCAGGCUUAACACAUGCAAGUCGAGCGCCCCGCAAGGGGAGCGGCAGACGGGUGAGUAACGCGUGGGAAUCUACCCAGCUCUACGGAAUAACUCAGGGAAACUUGUGCUAAUACCGUAUACGUCCGAUAGGAGAAAGAUUUAUCGGAGUUGGAUGAGCCCGCGUUGGAUUAGCUAGUUGGUGGGGUAAAGGCCUACCAAGGCGACGAUCCAUANCUGGUCUGAGAGGAUGAUCAGCCACACUGGGACUGAGACACGGCCCAGACUCCUACGGGAGGCAGCAGUGGGGAAUAUUGGACAAUGGGMGCAAGCCUGAUCCAGYCAUAGCCGUCKUGAGUGAUGAAGGCCCUAAGGGYUGUAAAGCUCUUUUCACCGGUGAAGAUAAUGACGGWAACCGGAGAASAAGCCCCGGCCUAACUUCGUUGCC
rnacentral:rRNA from 1 species